GCCCAAGAGACAGCUGACAGGAACCAGCUCAUGGAACAUCGACCACGAGUGCCACGAUGGGUUAUUACGAGGCCCGCCCUGUACUGAGCCUUCAGCUGAGACCACACGUCACCGGGAGCUCUGAAGACAAAAUUCCGAUCCGCCUACCCACCUCGAGACCGAAGGUCGCCGUGGGUCGGGAACGCGUCCCCCGGUUCCUUCGGACUCUCCCGACUGCUCGGUCCCGUGUCCCGUCCACGGCGCGGGUUCGCCGCUGGUGCCCGUUACAUCGUCUCCGUCUUCGAGCCCCGAUGGCCGAUGCCUUCGGGUGACGGUGCCGGCACUCAGGACGGGGCUCGGCGGUUAGAACCGAGCUUGGCACGCGAUUCGGAGACGAGCGCCGUGGGGCCGGGGCCGAGAGCGACGGCCCAGACCUCCCAGAUCCCCCCACUUCCUCGACUCCUGCUCCCUUGAGCCUCGCACUUGGAUCCGUUCCCUUUAUUCACCUCUCACUGGGCCCCAGGGCACUCACGCCCAGAGCCUUCGGGAAUCGAUUGAGAUCGACGACCAUUUCCGCCUCUAGACCGUCAGCCUUUUGUGGUAUUGGGCUUUCCCGAGCGCUCGGUACGGCGUUGGGUGCACGGUGAGCGCUUCGUCAUGGAAUGAAUUGAAGAGGUUAUCCAGGGAGGCUCAGCGACCAGGGGCAGACCUGGGAUGAGCAUUUCCCCAACAGCUCGACCUACAGGGCCACGCGGUCGACCCGGGGACGAGGCUCAAGGACGAUUACGCUCCAAGUAGAAGCGGGGGAGAGCAGCCCAGAUGCAAGGAAUCCAACACCCAAAGACCAUCUCAGAGAAGGAGAGUGAAACCUGGACCCUGAACCAAACCAAACUCCAAAAAACAAAUCUCUUCCGUUUCUUGCUUUGGGUUCUCGAUGGACUCUGCUAAGCGCUAUGUGCCGGGCACCUUACUAAGCACUGGGGUCGAUCAAAGGGAAUCAGGUUGGA